CACGUAGGGCGCAAGCGUUGUCCGGAUUUACUGGGCGUAAAGAGCGCGCAGGCGGUCGUUCAAGUCGCGUGUGAAAGCCCCCGGCUCAACUGGGGAGGGUCACGCGAUACUGAUCGACUCGAAGGCAGGAGAGGGAAGUGGAAUUCCCGGUGUAGUGGUGAAAUGCGUAGAUAUCGGGAGGAACACCAGUGGCGAAGGCGACUUCCUGGCCUGUUCUUGACGCUGAGGCGCGAAAGCUAGGGGAGCAAACGGG
rnacentral:rRNA from 1 species